rnacentral:rRNA from 1 species
AGUCGGAAUUGCUAGUAAUCGUAGGUCAGCAUACUACGGUGAAUACGUUCCCGGGCCUUGUACACACCGCCCGUCAAACCAUGAGAGUUGGCAACACCCGAAGUCGGUAGUCUAACCGCAAGGAGGACGCCGCCGAAGGUGGGGUUGAUGAUUAGGGUUAAGUCGUAACAAGGUAAC